rnacentral:lncRNA from 1 species
GGAAGUUGUAAAAAAAGAAGAAAAAAAAAAAAUUGGUCCCCGAGAGAGAGAACAAACAUUCUAAGCCACUCUGACUCUUACAAACAGAAUCUCUGAUAACCUCACAGUGCCUCGGCUACAGGGUGGCAACAAAGGUAGCCGCCAACCAAUGGCUUUGACAGAAUGAGGCACCCCUUGGCAUGCCUGCUAGAGGCAAACAGAUCUCUCUAGCACUCAUCCAGGGACUGGGGAGGUCUGGGGAGGCUGGUUUGCUCCACUGCGCCCCCUCCCUUUUUUCUGCCUCGCAUUCAUGUCUCUCUCAUUUCAUUCCUGUGGAGCCAACUCUGAAGCUGUUGAAAGAGGAUUGACUAUUGCUCCAUCAGCCACCUGGCAGCCCGCAACCACGACCAGCUUUACUUAAACCCAUGAGUGGCUUCAAAAGGAAAAGCAGGGGAAAAGGGAAAGAAAAAAAAGAGAAAAAAGAGGUAGAUGGCAUGCAGAUGGUAGGGUGGAGCAGCGGCAGAUAGCUUUGAUCUCGACUGAGCAAGAGCUCAAGAUCUACAACCAGAAUCAACCCUUUGAUUAGAACUCUGGAUAUGUUUGUGAACACGUGUAUCCAUGAAUUCCUUCUGUAUGUGGCAAAUCUUAGAAUGUCUGCCAGCAUAUCUCAAAAAGACAAUCCCUCCCUAGCUUCCAGUCCACAGAAACCUCUCUUAUCAAAGUCACCCACAACCUACGUGAUGUUCUUCAUCCAGCCAGGCCUUGGAAACUGACUGCAGCACCGAGAUACAGAAGAACAGAACAGGUGAAAAACAGGAAUCUACGGAUCAAAACAACAAUGUAUGAACUACCUCCACCAAAACUCUUAAGCUAAGUGCAUAAGGCAAAUACACAUCAUUAAACAGAUAUACAUUCUUUUCCAUAAACUAUCUUAUUAUCACAAGAGUUUCUUUACCUUAUUAUGUUGGUGUUUAUUGUGUUUUGAGAUAAUUGAUAAGCAG